UACGUAGGCAGCGAGCGUUGUUCGGAAUUACUGGGCGUAAAGAGUGUGUAGGCGGUGCUCUAAGUUCGGUGUGAAAUCUCCUGGCUCAACUGGGAGGGUGCGCCGGAAACUGGAGUGCUUGAGCGUGGGAGAGGAAAGCGGAAUUCCGGGUGGAGUGGUGAAAUGCGUAGAGAUCCGGAGGAACACCAAAGGCGAAGGCAGUGUCCUGGGGAGUACCUGACGCUCAGGUGCGAAAGCCAGGGGAGCGGAACGGG
rnacentral:rRNA from 1 species